rnacentral:rRNA from 1 species
UACGGGGGGGGCAAGCGUUGUUCGGAAUUACUGGGCGUAAAGGGCUCGUAGGUGGCCAACUAAGUCAGACGUGAAAUCCCUCGGCUUAACCGGGGAACUGCGUCUGAUACUGGAUGGCUUGAGAUUGGGAGAGGGAUGCGGAAUUCCAGGUGUAGCGGUGAAAUGCGUAGAUAUCAGGAGGAACACCGGUGGCGAAGGCGGUUCUCUGGGCAUUACCUGACGCUGAGGAGCGAAAGUGUGGGGAGCGAACAGG